GACGAACGCUGGCGGCGUGCUUAACACAUGCAAGUCGAACGGUAAGGCCCUUCGGGGUACACGAGUGGCGAACGGGUGAGUAACACGUGGGUGAUCUGCCCUGCACUUCGGGAUAAGCCUGGGAAACUGGGUCUAAUACCGGAUAGGACCACUGCCUGCAUGGGUGGUGGUGGAAAGCUUUUGCGGUGUGGGAUGGGCCCGCGGCCUAUCAGCUUGUUGGUGGGGUGAUGGCCUACCAAGGCGACGACGGGUAGCCGGCCUGAGAGGGUGACCGGCCACACUGGGACUGAGGUACGGCCCAGACUCCUACGGGAGGCAGCAGUGGGGAAUAUUGCACAAUGGGCGCAAGCCUGAUGCAGUGACGCCGCGUGAGGGAUGACGGCCUUCGGGUUGUAAACCUCUUUCAGCACCGACGAAGCGCAAGUGACGGUAGGUGCAGAAGAAGGACCGGCCAACUACGUGCCAGCCGCCGCGGUAAGAC
rnacentral:rRNA from 1 species